rnacentral:tRNA from 1 species
GCCUUGGUGGUGAAAUUGUAGACACGUGAGACUCAAAAUCUCGUGCUAAAGAAUCAGGAGGUUCAAGUCCCUUUCAAGGCA